UAGGGAAUCUUCGGCAAUGGGGGGAACCCUGACCGAGCAACGCCGCGUGAGUGAAGAAGGUUUUCGGAUCGUAAAGCUCUGUUGUUAAGGAAGAACGAGUGUGAGAAUGGAAAGUUCAUGCUGUGACGGUACUUAACCAGAAAGGGACGGCUAACUACGUGCCAGCAGCCGCGGUAAUACGUAGGUCCCGAGCGUUGUCCGGAUUUAUUGGGCGUAAAGCGAGCGCAGGCGGUUAGAAAAGUCUGAAGUGAAAGGCAGUGGCUCAACCAUUGUAGGCUUUGGAAACUGUUUAACUUGAGUGCAGAAGGGGAGAGUGGAAUUCCGUGUGUAGCGGUGAAAUGCGUAGAUAUAUGGAGGAACACCGGUGGCGAAAGCGGCUCUCUGGUCUGUAACUGACGCGGAGGCUCGAAAGCGUGGGGAGCGAACAGG
rnacentral:rRNA from 1 species